GGUGUCGGUCAAGAUCGUAAGAAAAAGAAAGAGACAGGCCAAAAAGCAAAGGUGGCAAAACCAAGAGUCGUUCUGCAACAAGUCCACCUGCCACCCGUGAACCAAAAAAGAGGAGCAGAGAAGAAACAAAUACAUGCACCUGUACGAAGUCUAACACCACCAUCAGAAUCAGGGGAUCCACAUCUUGAUGCUAAGUACAGAAACAAAAUGUAUAUCCAGGUGUAUGGCUUGUUGUCAUCAACUAUCGACAAAAUGACAGAGCUUUUUCAUGAUAUCCAGCCAAGAGAGUGACAUCAGAUGGUACAACAGACCUACCAGCACUUAGUUGUUACAGUGAACAAGGAUUUACCGCUGUUACAAAGAAAUGACAGUGCAAAUCACCAAUAAACUGGUGAUUUGCGAUGUCAUCUCUUUGUUAUGAUGAGUAGGUGUUUUGGUUUAAGUUAGGGUAACAUUAAUAACAAUUUGAAAUUAAGCAUUCUAUUUUAAACUUAAUUCUUUUUCUAAUUCACAAGAUUACUCCUUGAUGUUGAGGUACUUUCCCACAUUAUCCUAAAUGCUUUGACUUCCUUGAGUUUGCUGGAGUUCCAGUUUGUUCAACUGUAAACCACUUGCUCUACAUUUUGUCACAGAGCUAACAUACGGUACCGGCAAAUCAACCAUUUUGGCGAAUUUUGAGAUUUUGUUAUUUUUGAGGUGUUUAAAGGUUGCUCCUUUAUUAAAGUAUUUGUGCCAAAAUUCUGAAUUCUUGUCUGUAUUUGGAGAUUCGGAGCCCCGCCUGUGGCGAAUCAGUCACAUUUUGACAUAGUGACGAAUACGGAAUUUUGCUGGUAACCAGCUAAUGCAAGGUGUACGUUCAAAGUACCAACGAAUGUUGUUUGUCGGAUUGCGGCACGGCGCACAUGUGUGCGCAAUCCGACAAACUGACGAAUAGCAUACAAACUGUGAAAAACAACUGGCUAUUAGAGAUUUUGUAAUUUGACAAACGGACGAAUACGUUUACAAUCAAAUAAAAACAAAUCACACAACUUCUCUGAUUAAAUAAGUUACCUGAUGGAUACUACGUUUCCUAUUUUAUUUCGAGUGUACACAAAAACAGUAAUUAUCAAAACGUUAAGGAUAAAAUACGACGCCCAGAAAAAUGUCCAACUUCAAACGCAAAUUACUCGAAACAGGGUUUUCGCUUAUUUGUCGGUAUGUCAGCUCUACGACGAAUUAUUUGUGAUGUAACAAAUUCACAUUAGCACCCACUUUUGUGCUGAUUGUGAACAGUCGUGAAGUAGAAAUGUUUUGCCGAAUUUGUUUUGAAAGGUACCAUGUUACUACUCAGCAGAGUUUUCAACAACAAAAAAUCUUAAAUUUCCGCACAAUUUGUUUGAUGGUUACAAAUUGUUAAAAUUUGUAUAAAUGUUAUUGUGAAGGGAGCUUUGAAAUUUAAUAAAUAUUGAUUUUGAGUUGUACUCGUCACAGAAAAUGGUACACUUUAUGGAUCACCUAAACUCUUAUUGCAGAAUAUUGCAAGGUGGGCAAUACUCUCGUACUCUCUGUUGCUCUCUCUAUAUAUACAUAAAAUGAUAAAAGAAUGUAAAAAAAACAAAAUUAAAACAGUGCUCACCGGAUAGCGAUUGCCAAGCUUUCAGUGUGAUGCAUCUUUAUCAGGACAAUUUUGGCUUGUGAUGUACUGCUGGUAGAACAAAUGGACAAAAAUGUAUCUGUAACAGAAGCUGUGUAUCCCCAUUGCUGGAAGAACCCGCUCAUCGCUGGAGCUCUUUCUCAAACUCAACUUCCUCAAUACAAAUUUGGCAGAGGCGAAGGAAAUGACUAUUGGGGUUUGGGGAUACCAUCUUUGCACGUUUUGGGAUAUUACUGUACCUGAUACAUAUUACUGAUUGAGAGCCAAAUUCUCACUGGUUCAUUCACCAUCACAUCCCAGAUGCUAUUUUUGCUGUUUACCAUGUGUGUGCGCGAGUGUUCACACGCAGGCAUAGUAGACUACUGGUACCAUAGAUAUAGAAUAAAUUAUUCCAUAUCUAUGAACUGUACGUGCGACAGCCUACUAUGCAAAUCGCUUCACAAAUUAAUCGUGGAACUGUCGCACGGGUAUAGUACACACAGGAAUAGUAUGCAUCUUGUUUUCCUUGAUUCUCAAAUGACUGUGAAUAAGUAAUAUUACCUUAGAAUAAUGAUCUAGCAACUUUUGCUGUACUGAGAACCUUCAUUGUCAAAUGACCAAUGAGUCUUGGAAUAAACAUGUCAGCUCUAUGGUUGUGAAAGCAAAGCGUCUGCCGUUGAUAACCAAAGCUAAUCCGAUUAUGUACUCGGAUGCUAUAACUGAGCAAUGAAAUUCAUGUGCCCACUCCCCCCCCCCCCAAAAAAUGGCCUUUUUGAAAGUUGUGUUUCUUAGAAAAUUCACUCAGUAUGAUUGAAAUGUUAAAGUAUAACGGAAGAAGAAAUUCUUAACUUCAUGUCAGUAAAAAAAUCGUUGUUAUCAAUGCCAAAACGUCAAUACUGGUUACUGGUAAAGCUGGCCUUAAAGUCGGGAAGAAAUUGUUCGAAAACAUCCCAAAAUCUGUGUAUUUAUGUCGAUUUCUAGGAAUUUCUCCAAGUUGUUAUUUCACGAGUAGUUGGACACUUAUAUAUCAUCUAAGUAUAUUCUGAAUUUUAGCUUAAUCUGUCACGGUUGUUGCAAAUGCUAGUGUUACACCUUGAACUAUCUCCAAGGUCAAUUUCGACAAGAAUUUUUUGCCCCCAAUCCAUCUGCAUGGUUCAGCAAAGCACCGUAGGCGCUAUAUGGUUGACCGAUUGCGGCCCGGCAACACAAUGACGAAUGCAUAUUCAUUAGCGUCACUCGAUGUGACUUGGCAAUUGUGAUUUAUCAAUUAAUAAAUCGUGAAGGAGGCUUUUCUCCAAGUUUUUACUGCACACCAUAAUGGAUAGGAACCUUAUUAAUAUUCGUGAGGCUUGAAAAGAUUGACAGAUGUUGCAAACGCCAUAUGUAACAACUUUCAAAAAUGCACGUAGCCAGGCCUAUUUUUCCAAUUUCAACGAAAAGUAAUGAACAUAAUAUCACAACGAUUUUAGCACAUACUUGGAUCAUUUUAAGGGAAAUAAACCCUGACAGAUGCAUGAAGAUGCGGUCUGCCAAACGGGAAUAUUAAUUUUCAAAAAUUUCGCCCACCUGGGUGAACAUGUUUGUGUACAUGUAGUUUCAUUCGAAAUAAAGUGUUACGUGACCUUUAGAAAUCGCCCUUUGAGUCGCAACCACACGGCUGCAUAAUGUAUGGUAUAACCUCAAACACGAAGGUCAUAAUGCUCUAUAGAAAACAAUACACACUAGCUACAGGCACAUUAUUCCUCCAUGGUAUAAAGUACACAAUGUAUGUACAACAAGGAAAAGCUGAGCAAUGAAUUAAGUGUAAAUCACAAAUUGAGCACUCGGGCGAGUUAAUCGUUAUACAGAAUGAUCAUUUAAAGUUCAGAAAGUAACAUAGAUAACCAUAGAGAGUGAUAAUUAUGACGAAUGGGUAAUUAAGAACUUAUAAUCUAAAAACACUCCACCGCUUUGUGGGAAAGGCACUCCAUUUUGUAUUAUUUUGUGUUGUAUUAUUUUGUGUUUUGUGUUGUAUUAUUUUAUGUAAGGUCACUUUAAAGAUCAAAUAAAGCAUAGUUCGCACGUAA